rnacentral:rRNA from 1 species
AGCAGCCGCGGUAAUUCCAGCUCCAAUAGCGUAUAUUAAAGUUGUUGCAGUUAAAAAGCUCGUAGUUGAAUUUCGGGAUUGACACAUCGGUCGUGCCUUAAGGGGUAUGAACUGGUGUAGUCAAUUUCUCACCUUCUGGAGAACCGCGAUGCCCUUAAUUGGGUGUCGCGGGGAACCAGGACCUUUACUUUGAAAAAUUAGAGUGUUUAAAGCAGGCAUUUUGCUUGAAUACAUUAGCAUGGAAUAAUAAAAUAGGACGGCAUGAUUCUAUUUUGUUGGUUUCUAGGAUCACCGUAAUGAUUAAUAGGGAUAGUUGGGGGCAUUAGUAUUCAAUUGUCAGAGGUGAAAUUCUUGGAUUUAUUGAAGACUAACUACUGCGAAAGCAUUUGCCAAGGAUGUUUUCAUUAAUCAAGAACGAAAGUUAGGGGAUCGAAGACGAUCAGAUACCGUCGUAGUCUUAACCAUAAACUAUGCCGACUAGGAAU